GUGACAAACCGGAGGAAGGUGGGGAUGACGUCAAAUCAUCAUGCCCCUUAUGAUUUGGGCUACACACGUGCUACAAUGGACAAUACAAAGGGCAGCGAAACCGUGAGGUCAAGCAAAUCCCAUAAAGUUGUUCUCAGUUCGGAUUGUAGUCUGCAACUCGACUACAUGAAGCUGGAAUCGCUAGUAAUCGUAGAUCAGCAUGCUACGGUGAAUACGUUCCCGGGUCUUGUACACACCGCCCGUCACACCACGAGAGUUUGUAACACCCGAAGCCGGUGGAGUAACCUUUUAGGAGCUAGCCGUCGAAGGUGGGACAAAUGAUUGGGGUGAAGUCGUAACAAGGUAGCCGUAUCGGAAGGUGCGGCUGGAUCACCUCCUUU
rnacentral:rRNA from 1 species